CNGAUUUUGGAGGGCAAGUCUGGUGCCAGCAGCCGCGGUAAUUCCAGCUCCAAUAGCGUAUAUUAAAGUUGUUGCAGUUAAAAAGCUCGUAGUUGAAUUUCGGGGUUCUACCGUUGGUCGGGCUAUUGUCUGUACUGGCGUGUAGAAUUUCUACCUUCUGGGGAACUAUCAUGUUAUUAAUUUAGCGUGGUAGGAAACCAGGACCUUUACCUUGAAAAAAUUAGAGUGUUCAAAGCAGGCUUAUGUCUGAAUACAUUAGCAUGGAAUAAUAAAAUAGGACGGUGGUCCUGUUUUGUUGGUUUCUGAAUCACCGUAAUGAUUAAUAGGGAUAGUUGGGGGCAUUAGUAUUCAAUUGUCAGAGGUGAAAUUCUUGGAUUUAUCGAAGACUAACUACUGCGAAAGCAUUUGCCAAGGAUGUUUUCAUUAAUCAAGAACGAAAGUUAGGGGAUCGAAGACGAUCAGAUACCGUCGUAGUCUUAACCAUAAACUAUGCCGACUAGGGAUCGGACGAUGUUAACUUUUCUUGACUCGUUCGGCGCCUUACGGGAAACCAAAGUGUUUGGGUUCAAUCACUAGNGAAUU
rnacentral:rRNA from 1 species